rnacentral:snRNA from 1 species
GACUUAAACCCUAAACCAUCCCCCGAUAAAAUUGUGACGCUGCAGACAAGAUUAGCAUGGCCCCUGCACAAGAAUGACACGCACAAAUCGAGAAGGGUGGGACAAAAAG